CAAAAACAUUGCUUUUUGGUAAAAAUAAAAAGUAUGGUCUGCCCAGUGAGUAAUUUUAACGGCCGCAAUAUUUGUGCGAAGGUAGCAUAAUCAUUUGUCUUUUAAUUGAUGACUGGAAUGAAUGGCUGGACGGAGAAAAGCUGUCUCUUUUAUAUUUAUUUGAAAUUUACUUUCAAGUUAAAAGGCUUGAAUAAUAUAGAGGGACGAGAAGACCCUAUUGAGUUUUAUAGAAUUUAUUUAAAUUUUUCUUUAAUUUUUAUAAUAUCUAUUUAGUUGGGGUGACUUUAUAAUAAAAUCUAUAUUAGAAUUAAUAGACAUUAAGUUUUUAGGAUCCAUAAUUUAUGAUAAUUAGAUUAAAUUACCUUAGGGAUAACAGCGUAAUAUUUUUUUAGAGUCCAAAUCGAUUAAAAUGCUUACGACCUCGAUGUUGGAUUAAAGAACCUAAUUUGGAGAAGAAGCUAAUUUAGGUAGUCUGUUCGACUAUUAAAUCUUUAC
rnacentral:rRNA from 1 species